rnacentral:lncRNA from 1 species
CCAAACUUUAUCUUUCCCUUAUAGUUUGUCUGCAUGGGAUUCCAAAGACUAUAAUAUCCGACAGAGACGCUCAAUUCGUCUCAAGAUUUUGGGAUCAUUUACAACAAGCUCUGGAAACUCAACUAGUAUUCAGUACAGUAUACCACCCCCAGACUGGAGGACAAACUGAACAUGUGAACCAAAUUCUAGAGGACAUGCUAAGAGCAUGUGUUCUCACCUAUGAAACCAGUUGGAAAGAAAGCCUGUCAUAUACCGAGUUCGCAUACAACAACAGUUACCAAGCCAAUCUACAAAUGGCACCUUUUGAAGCCUUGUACGGGCGAAGAUGUCGUACCCCAUUAAAUUGGUCAGAAACAGGAGACAGUCGUAUCUUCGGCCCCGACAUACUCAAGCAAGCUGGGGAGAAAGUUAGACUAAUCAGGGAUCGACUCAAGACAGCCCAGAGCCGACAAAAGAGUUAUUACGAUCAAAAGCAUCAUGAAAUCAGAUUUGAACCUGGUGAAUAUGUGUAUCUACGAGUAUCUUCUAUGAGGAGCCUGCAAUGAUUCAAAGUUAAAAGAAAGCUAGCUCCACGGUUUAUUGGACCCUUUUGUGUGACUGCGCGAAGAGGCACAGUAGCCUACCAGCUAGACCUCCCCAAAGUAUUGUCAGACGUACACGACAUGUUUUACAUCUCACAGUUGAGGAAAUGUGUAAGCAACCCAAAGAAGCAUGUAUCUCAUGAGAACAUUGACAUACAACCAGACCUCACCUACACGGAACGACCAAUAAAAAUAUUGGAGAAGUCCGAAAAAAGGACCCGUCAGAAAACAAUUAAGUUUUUUAAGGUUCAGUGAACUAAUCACAACAAAGAUGAAUUAACAUGGGAAGGAGAGGAUUUUCUUCGGACAGAGUACCCACACCUAUUUGAGGAUCAGCUAAAAUCUCGGGGACGAGAUUUUUCCUAAGGGGUAGGUGUUGUAACACUUCAAAAAAUUUGAUUUGGUUUUGAUCAAAUUCUCUAAUUAAUUGGAAGGAGGUUAUUUAAUGUUUUAAAAAAAGACUCUCCUUCUCAAAAAAAAAAUUCUAUGACAAUUUUUUUAUGGGUUCUUCCCAACCUUGAUUUUUGGUUUUGAGGUUUUUCAUCUUGCGUUGGCUCAACACAAAUAAUUUUGAAGGGUUUAUACAAUUCCUUUUUAUUAAAAAAGUAUUCCUAUAAAUUAUGAAUUUAUUCUUCCCCAUUCAAAAGAUUUCUCUUUUACCAUGACCUAUGUGAAAACUUUCUUCCAAACCAACCCCACUUUGGGUCAACCCAAGCAUCCAAUUCCAGCAAGUUUCAACUUCCCCUAGAUUUUAUUUCUAUUUAUUUUAACUCAAAAUCCUUUCUGUCAUUUAAUUUGAACCUUAGAGAUUUACAAAGGAACUGCCAAAUUUCUUUUGAGUUUUGACUCCAAAUAAACUCCUCUAGCUAGUCCUUAGCACCCUCAACCAAGAUUCAUCAAGAUCUGCUGGCUUACGGUUUAAAUUUUUCAAAAUUUGCUUGCUGCAAAUUUGGACCAGAUUUAUCAUUUUUGAUGAAAUUCAUUCUUUUUCUUUUCCUAAAAAUCUAAGAUAAUUCAGGCAGUCUCCAGAUGCAUCAAGAGAUCACCUCACCAAGGAUCAGCUCAAGGAAAAUUUUCCACGUGCCUAAAUCAUUUCGUCGAGCAGCAGAUGUGCACUUUUUCUGUCAAAUUCGAAAAAGUUCAGUGUUCAGUUUUCAGUGCCAGUGUCGUCUUCUUCAGAACCCCGGCGUCAAUCUCGACAGUGCACGCGUUGGCACCUUGCUCACUGCUCCCCCUUCUUAUCCAUCGCGUUGCACGGUCAUCUGAACGAAUGCGAGCGUCGGCGGUGAGCUAGCAGGAGUACAUUGCCCACGUGAGCGACGGCAGCAACGUUCACUGCGGCCACCAGAGAGGCUCAGCGUGGUAUGGCGCCGUCCAACACCGCCAACACCACCAGGAGCCGCCGCGUGGCCGUCCCCUUCCCCGUGCGUGCUGCAGAACCAUCGCCGUGGCUUGAGAGGCGCAGAGCGCGCUCUCUGCCGCCGACGUGCUCGUGAGGCCGUUUCGUCGAAGGCCUGGAGUAUCGCCCAAGUUGUACCAAGAUUAGCUAUUGAAUGAAGCCAGUGGACCAAUCCGAAGACGCCCAAUCACCUAAACCUCCAGCCCGACCACUGCCUCAUCGUAAUCACUCGCCGGAGUAAUCCCGUUCUCGGCAACCGCCUCGGGCCGGCUAUAAAUGGAGGUCCCGAGCUCGCCUUCGACCCAGCACCACUCCUCCACUUCACCAGGACCACGACCAGCCACCAGAAGGACCUCGAGGAGGCCUUCUUCCCCGACUCCGGCUGCCCCGAUCCGCUUCGGGCUCCGGCAAGGUUCUCUCUAGUGAGAGCACACCCGCCCCCCAAACCGCGUCAGUAGCCUCCUAGUACUCCCACUCCUCUAACCCGCGCUUCAAUUUGGCAUCUGCAGCCCUCCUCGGUGAGAUCCAUCCUCGACCAAACCACCAUCCGUCGAAGAGGAGGCCACCGUCGACGUGGUGCUCGCCGACGACCAACUCCACCACCCACAGACGCGGGAGAGCUCCGUGAGUCCGUAGGUACCAUCCACUCCACCUGCCUCGCCGUGGAUCGCCGCCGGCGACCACCGCGAGCCUCGGGCGCCGGCGGGACUCUGUUCUGAUAUUUAAACCUGACGGGUGGGACCCCCUCGUCAGCCUUUUCUCUUUUAUUCGAAACGUUUUCUGAAAGCGCCUUCGGGCAAAAUACGUUUUCUAACGGAAACAUUUUCUGUUUUUUUAACUAGCCCCUGAAAAGUUUUUGUUUCAUCACAGAUUAGUCCCUGGACUAAAACCUUUAUAACUUUUAAACAAAAGAUGAUUUUGAGCUGAUUCUUUUUUCUGUCAUCUUUAUUUUUCUAUCUAGCUUUUUAUCAUAUUUAUUUGAAAAAUAUUUGGAACAUUUUUUAUGCACGCACGGUAUUUACGUUAGUAUCUGAUUUUUUUUAUAAUGUAGAUACCGAAGGAGGUGACGGAGCUGCAAACUUCACCGAGCUAGACUCUGACUACUCCGAACCAGGCAAGCAUGUUUGCUUGAGUAGUUUUCUGAUGGCAUGUUUAUAUAAGCAUUAGUGAAUGUUGUAUUGCAUGAAAGGCAAGCUACAAGUGAGUUUCGAAAUUUGAUGUGUUCAUAUGAUGGUGAGAUAACCUGAUCAUGUGGUGGGCAAGUUGGUGUUGUUGAAGCAUGCCAGUCUUAUGUUAACCAUUUAACUCCGGUAUUAACGUGGAUCAAGUCAUGUUCCCGUUCGUCCCCUUUUUUGUGCCACCACAUGUCUUCUGCAAAGAAUGCGGUCUAGUCAGUUGCAAACAUCUUUCCUUGUACACACCAAAUAGAGGGGCCGUGAUGAGGGUUCCAUGGCCCUGGAUUAAAGCCCGUCAUCCGGUCAAGGGCAUGGGUGUUUCCGGUUGGGACCGAGAGGGGGGCACCCCUUAGAGCGCGCGAUAUAAAUUUGAUCCCAUGCUAUUCGAGAUUGUAGCCUCCCCGUCUUAGAGUUUUUCUUGAACGUUGCCUAGGGUGAUUCCUGGCAGCGGAAUGUGGAAUGGGUGUGUACUGGUUAGAUGUGUUUCUUCUAAAAUACCGUAAACGGAACUAGUCCUUUGUGUCUACGGAAAUCCGUUGGUUGUGGGUAAAGAGUACAAACUCUGCAGAGUCAAACCAUUCGAGUAACUGUGUCCAUGGUCAAUGACUGUGAUCAACAUAUCAAUGUAAGUAUCAGUGUCAUUCUCAACGUCCGUCUCAGCAUCAGUCUUAGUGUCAGUCUCAAUGACAAUCUCCGGUGAAUAAACAUGAGUGGUAAACCCGGCUGAAUGUUAUUCCUGUGAAUGGACUAACCAGUUUAUUAUUAUGUACUAAGUAUUUCCUUGGGAUGAUUUAAAUUCGUGAGCUAUUUGAAUUCAAAUAGUGAAAUAUAAGCCCUUUAUGUGAUGUCGCUCAGACGUCCGACUGUGGCAUUCUUGUUAUUUACUUUUGAUAUAAGCCCUUUACGUGAUGUCGCUCAGACGUUCGACUGUGGCAUUCUCGUUAUUUACUUUUGAUAUAAGCCCUUUAUGUGAUGUCGCUCAGACAUCCGACUGUGGCAUCCAUGUUAUUUACUUUUAUUAUAAGCCCUUUUCGAGAUGUCGCUUAGACGUCUGACUGUGGCACGUACUGUCAUUUACAUUUCAAUAUAAGCAAUUUAUGUGGUGUCGCCCUGACGCCCGACUGCGGCAUGUUAAUUUAUUUUUACCUUUCGAGGCAUCGCUUCAGACACCCGAUCGGUCUUCAGUUAUUUUAUUAGGAUUUCGGGAGGACUACCGCCUGACUUCCUUUUUAUUCAACACGCAGUGCAAAAUUUAUUAUCCGAGUGCGCAUUACUAGUUUACUCAUGUGCAUCUUGUUUACAUUUGUUAUAUCUUAUGUCCAAACUGUCUUGCGAGUACAUUCAAAGUACUCACCUGGCUUGUUGAUUUGGCCAGAUGUUGACGAAGGCGGUCUUAUGGAUGAAGAGUACGAUAGCGAGUCCGACGCCUAGAGGAGUCCCAGUCAGUCCCAUGCGAUCCUGGAGUUGGUCACUUGUAUUAUAUACGCUUCCGCUACCCUAAUAAAAAUCAUCGAGCCUCACUCCGGCACUUGAUGAGCUGUAAGAUUUAGGAGUUAUGUCACCCACUUCACUGUGACAUAACCAUCACCACUUUUAUUACGAGUCAGUAGUUAUGCCACCAUACUUAUUGUGCCAUAUCCGCCUUUAUGUAUAAUAUCGGCAUGCUUGUAAUAAAUUGUUGAGCAGUCUCAGCUCAACCCUGUAUAAUAUUUAGUAUUUCUGGAUUUCUGUAUCAAGGAUUUGUCUACCAGUAAAAAGGAUUUUCCUAUGCUGGUCUGAUAGAAUGGUCGAUUUUUCAAUAAAUAUUUUAUUGAAAAACCGGUCCUAGAUUUAUUUGCUAAAAUCGGUGCAUCAAGAACGACGGUGUUGUAUGGUCACAACGUGUGAAGUCUUGGAGGUGAGAAUUACAAGAAAUCAAUAUUGUGAGCUGGCAUUCAGUUAACGCGCACACAGUACAAAGAUUGCAGCUAAACGGAACCUAUGAACCAGGAAGGAACACAUGCAGCAUGCACAUACAAAUUACUGAAAUUUGGAGAGCAUGGUGUUCUGCACCUGACCACAGGAAAGCACCACUAUUUGUUUUGUCAGUAAACGUCAUUAGCUUGUCUAUAUGUAGAUACUUUUUCUUAUAAGAAAAUGCCAUCAGUUUGCCUAUGUGCGAGUCCACUAAAAUAUAUUGCUUGAGAUUUGACUUGGGGCCAUACCACGUCCAUCUUGGACAACUUGCUACUCCCUCCGUCCAGAAUUACUUGUUGCGGAAAUGGAUGUAUAUAAAUCUAGAUACGUCCAUUUCUGCGACGAGUAAUUCCAGACAAAGGGAGUAUAUGGAUUGGAAUGGUGUAAACACACACAUGACAUGACCAAAAAAUGAACGAUUCCUCUGCUGCUGCAUGUUUUCCUUCUAUGUGUGCAAACCUUCUGUUGCUUAUGUGCAGCUUUGCUUGGGCAAAUCUUUUAUUUUUUUUAUGGGUAUAAAAAGACAGUAGAACUCUGUUAGAUAUCUGUCCUUUGUGCAGUUUAAAGUAGCAAGUUUCUUAUUUUGGAAUCAUGAAGAACAGGUCGGAUCUGCCCAAGGAAGCAGCCGCAUAACAGACGAGAGGAGAGUGCUGCAAGCUUUGGACUUGGCAGGAGGAGGGCGUACCUUGGCCCGUGGGGAAGGGGGCCGGAGAUGCGGCAGGUGUCUCGUACGUCGUCGUGGACGG